rnacentral:rRNA from 1 species
CUACGGGGGGCUCCAGUGGGGAAUAUUGGACAAUGGGGGCAACCCUGAUCCAGCAAUGCCGCGUGUGUGAAGAAGGCCUGCGGGUUGUAAAGCACUUUCAAUAGGGAGGAAAAGCUUUGGGUUAAUACCCCGAAGUCUUGACGUUACCUUUAGUAGAAGCACCGGCUAACUCUGUGCCAGCAGCCGCGGUAAUACAGAGGGUGCGAGCGUUAAUCGGAAUUACUGGGCGUAAAGCGCGCGUAGGCGGUUUGAUAAGUCAGAUGUGAAAGCCCCGGGCUUAACCUGGGAACUGCAUUUGAUACUGUCAAACUAGAGUAUGGUAGAGGGUAGUAGAAUUCCUGGUGUAGCGGUGAAAUGCGUAGAUAUCAGGAGGAAUACCAGUGGCGAAGGCGGCUACCUGGACCAAUACUGACGCUGAGGUGCGAAAGCGUGGGGAGCAAACAGGAUUAGAUACCCCUGUAGUC